UACGUAGGUGGCGAGCGUUGUCCGGAUUUACUGGGCGUAAAGGGCGCGUAGGCGGUCCUGAUCGUCGGAUGUGAAAGGCCUGGGCUCAACCUGGGAAUGGCAUCCGAUACGGCGGGACUGGAGUGUGGGAGAGGUUGGUGGAAUUCCCAGUGUAGAGGUGAAAUUCGUAGAUAUUGGGAAGAACACCGGUGGCGAAGGCGGCCAACUGGACCACAACUGACGCUGAGGCGCGAAAGCGUGGGGAGCAAACAGG
rnacentral:rRNA from 1 species